UACAGAGACUGCAAGCGUUAUUCGGAUUCACUGGGCGUAAAGGGUGCGCAGGCGGCCGUGUGUGUGAGGCGUGAAAGCCCGGGGCUCAACCCCGGAAUUGCACCUCAAACUACAUGGCUAGAGCAUUGGAGAGGGAAGCGGAAUUCACGGUGUAGCAGUGAAAUGCGUAGAUAUCGUGAGGAACACCAGAGGCGAAGGCGGCUUCCUGGACAAUUGCUGACGCUCAGGCACGAAAGCCGUGGGGGAGCAAAAGGG
rnacentral:rRNA from 1 species